AUGAACGCUAGCGGCAGGCUUAACACAUGCAAGUCGAGGGGCAGCGGGGAGUAGCAAUACUCCGCCGGCGACCGGCGCACGGGUGCGUAACGCGUAUGCAACCUACCUUUAACAGGGGCAUAACACUGAGAAAUUGGUACUAAUUCCCCAUAACAUUCGAGAAGGCAUCUUCUUGGGUUAAAAACUCCGGUGGUUAAAGAUGGGCAUGCGUUGUAUUAGCUAGUUGGUGAGGUAACGGCUCACCAAGGCGACGAUACAUAGGGGGACUGAGAGGUUAACCCCCCACAUUGGUACUGAGACACGGACCAAACUCCUACGGGAGGCAGCAGUGAGGAAUAUUGGUCAAUGGACGCAAGUCUGAACCAGCCAUGCCGCGUGCAGGAAGACGGCUCUAUGAGUUGUAAACUGCUUUUGUACUAGGGUAAACGCUCUUACGUGUAGGAGCCUGAAAGUAUAGUACGAAUAAGGAUCGGCUAACUCCGUGCCAGCAGCCGCGGUAAUACGGAGGAUCCAAGCGUUAUCCGGAUUUAUUGGGUUUAAAGGGUGCGUAGGCGGUUUGAUAAGUUAGAGGUGAAAUACCGGGGCUCAACUCCGGAACUGCCUCUAAUACUGUUGAACUAGAGAGUAGUUGCGGUAGGCGGAAUGUAUGGUGUAGCGGUGAAAUGCUUAGAGAUCAUACAGAACACCGAUUGCGAAGGCAGCUUACCAAACUAUAUCUGACGUUGAGGCACGAAAGCGUGGGGAGCAAACAGGAUUAGAUACCCUGGUAGUCCACGCAGUAAACGAUGAUAACUCGUUGUCGGCGAUACACAGUCGGUGACUAAGCGAAAGCGAUAAGUUAUCCACCUGGGGAGUACGUUCGCAAGAAUGAAACUCAAAGGAAUUGACGGGGGCCCGCACAAGCGGUGGAGCAUGUGGUUUAAUUCGAAGCAACGCGAAGAACCUUACCAGGUCUUGACAUCCUACUAACGAGAUAGAGAUAUGUUAGGUGCCCUUCGGGGAAAGUAGAGACAGGUGGUGCAUGGUUGUCGUCAGCUCGUGUCGUGAGAUGUUGGGUUAAGUCCCGCAACGAGCGCAACCCUUGCUAUUAGUUGCUACGCGAGAGCACUCUAAUAGGACUGCCGUUGACAAAACGGAGGAAGGUGGGGACGACGUCAAAUCAUCAUGCCCUUUAUGUCCUGGGCUACACACGUACUACAAUGGCUAUAACAAAGAGAAGCGAGACCGCGAGGUGGAGCAAAACUCAAAAAAGUAGUCUCAGUUCGGAUUGUAGACUGAAAUUCGUCUACAUGAAGCUGGAAUUGCUAGUAAUGGCAGGUCAGCAUACUGCCGUGAAUACGUUCCCGGGCCUUGUACACACCGCCCGUCACACCAUGAGAGUUGGGGAUACCCGAAGCCUGUGAGCCAACAGUUAAAUGAGGCAGCAGUCGAAGGUAGAAUCAAUGAUUGGGGUG
rnacentral:rRNA from 1 species